rfam:Ciona savignyi cont_25718, whole genome shotgun sequence.
GGGGGUGUAGCUCAGAUGGUAGAGCGCGCGCUUAGCAUGCGCGAGGUACAGGGAUCGAUACCCGGCACCUCCA